GCUCGCUUCUACAUUAUAUGUAUAUUUAUACUUUUGUAUUAGAAACGACAUUGGUUCUUUAGUUGAAGCCACAACAACUACUAAGACACCAAUAUUAGAUUGUACUAGCAUUUUAUUACCAUAUAUAGCUAAACAAAGAACUGGAUGCAGGGAACCAUUGGCUUCAGUCUUUCGUAAGAAUUGCCUUUGUGGAGCGCAUCUUGGAAGAGGUGGAGGCGUGCGGAUCGAGCCGGAUGGGGUGGCCACCGUGGCACGCGGGCGAAGGAGGAGCUCAAGGAGCAUGUCCCAGAAGAGGGCGUCAGCGGUGGCACGCCAAUCGACUCCACCGCAUCCUGGGCCUCGAGAUCUUCUCCGGCAAGACCAGGGGAGCUUCCAUGGCAAGAAACAUGGUCAAUGACUCCAGGGUGACGUGGAGCUCCAGGCCAAGGUAACGAGCAAAUUCUUCUUCGAGGUUGAGAUCGGCGGGAAGCGCGUGGGCAAGGUGGUCAUCGGGCUCUUCGGCGAGGUCGUCCCAAAGAUGAUUGACAACUUCCGUGCCCUGUGCACUGGAGAAAAAGGGGAUGUAUACAAGGGUUGCUUCUUCCACCGAAUCAUCAAAGGAUUUCAUGAUUCAGGGUGGGGAUUUUGCAGGAAAACAAUGUCUGAAGAGCAUUAGUGGCCUCUGUUCAGCUUUUUCUCUUCAUCUAUUCGGCAGCCGCUGUUGGUGGACAACGGCGGCCUCAGGUGGUGCAUGGUGGGUCCUGCCAAGUCACGGACACGAUAUCUCCCACGCAGGUGACUAGCGGCUGGGCAACGCCGCGGCCAUUGAGCCGAAGGUGGCUGAGCGCCAGAGCUCCCAGCUUAGGAAGACGACGCGACAGGAUGGCGCAGCAC